GUCCCCUUUAAGCCUAAUGAAUUCCAUGCUGAUGUGGUUAUAAAAAUUGCUGUACCUUUGUGGGUGUUUUAGUUUAUAUCCAUUUCACAGUACUCUGUCAGUGGCUAAACAUAGGGGGCCGAUGCGAUAGGCAGAUGGCAAAAUUUACCCAACUGGAGGAAAUCCUGCAAGUGAUCGCAUAACGAGGCUGAAAAUAAAUAUUAAAGGGACACUAUAGUCACCAGAACAACUACAGCUUAUUGAAUUUGUUCUGGUGAGUAGAAUCAUUACCUUCAGGCUUUUUGCUGUAAACACUACCUUUUCAGAGAAAAUGCAGUGUUUACAUUACAGCCUAGUGAUAACUUCAUUGGCCACUCACUCAGAUGGCUGUUAAUGAUCCUUCCUGUGUCAUGGCUGCCUAAAAUGCAUCCAAACAUUCAGUAUCUCCUCCCUCUGCAUCAGACACUGAACUUUCCUCAUAGAGAUUAAUUGAUUCAAUUCAUCUCUAUGAGGAGAUGCUGAUUGGCCAGGGCUGUGUUUGAAUCAUUCUGGCUCUGCCCCUGAUCUGCCUCUUUGUCAGUCUCAGCCAAUCCUAUGGGGAAGCACUGUGAUUGGAUUAGGCUACCACUUCUGAUGAUCUCAGCAGACUGCUGGUUUUUCUGAGGCAAACAGUAUGCAGAGCUACAGCUUCUGGCUUGAAUACAGUAAGAUGUUGCUAUAUUUAUGGAGGCAAAAUGGGUCCAGGGGGCCUAGAUGGUCGUUUUAACACUAUAGGGUCAGGAAUACAUGUUUGUGUUUCUUUAACCCCUUAAGGACACAUGACAUGUGUGACAUGUCAUGAUUCCCUUUUAUUCCAG